CCUACGGGGAGCAGCAGUAGGGAAUAUUGCUCAAUGGGGGAAACCCUGAAGCAGCAACGCCGCGUGGAGGAUGAAGGUUUUCGGAUUGUAAACUCCUUUUGUAAGAGAAGAUUAUGACUGUAUCUAACGAAUAAGCACUGGCGAACUCCGUGCCAGCAGCCGCGGUAAUACGUAGGUUGCAAGAGUUACGCGGAUUCACUGGUCGUAAAGAGUGCGUAGGCGGGGUAAUAAGUGAGAUGUGAAAUCCUGUAGCUUAACUACAGAACUUCAUGUGGAACUGUUACUGUGGAGUGUGAGAGAGGGAGGUGGGAUUCUUGGUGUAGGUGUAAAAUCCGUAGAGAUCAAGAGGAAUACGCAUUGCGAAGGCGACCUGCUGGAACAUUACUGACGCUGAUGCACGAAAGCGUGGGGAGCAAACAGGAUUAGAUACCCCUGUAGUC
rnacentral:rRNA from 1 species